GUUUUAUUGGUUUUGAAACUGAGUUGAUAAGGUGUUUUCUUAGCAGAUAGCUAGUUAUAUGCUGUACAUAGAUGGUGAUUCAUUAAUGGUGUAGCUUUACUUUUUAUCUUCCUACCUCCCUUCCAUUUUCUGUUUUGUGGUGAUUUGAGGCUUAAUUUCAUCAGCAAACUCUCUGCGAGGUAUUGUUCUGUACAACUGUUGUAUUGCCAAGGAACUAACAGCCAAAGCUAGUUGCCAGAAUUUGCUUCUCUCUAUAUUUUAUUAAUAUAUUCU
rnacentral:misc_RNA from 1 species